rnacentral:rRNA from 1 species
GAUGAACGCUGGCGGCGUGCCUAAUACAUGCAAGUCGAACGAAACUUCUUUAUCACCGAGUGCUUGCACUCACCGAUAAAGAGUUGAGUGGCGAACGGGUGAGUAACACGUGGGCAACCUGCCCAAAAGAGGGGGAUAACACUUGGAAACAGGUGCUAAUACCGCAUAACCAUAGUUACCGCAUGGUAACUAUGUAAAAGGUGGCUAUACUACCGCUUUUGGAUGGGCCCGCGGCGCAUUAGCUAGUUGGUAGGGUAAAGGCUUACCAAGGCAAUGAUGCGUAGCCGAAUUGAGAGGUUGAUCGGCCACAUUGGGACUGAGACACGGCCCAAACUCCUACGGGAGGCAGCAGUAGGGAAUCUUCCACAAUGGGCGAAAGCCUGAUGGAGCAACGCCGCGUGGGUGAAGAAGGUCUUCGGAUCGUAAAACCCUGUUGUUAGAGAAGAAAGUGCGUGAGAGUAACUGUUCACGUUUCGACGGUAUCUAAGCAGAAAGCCACGGCUAACUACGUG